GACGAACGCUGGCGGCACGCCUAACACAUGCAAGUCGAACGGACUUACAAGAGCUUGCUUUUUUAAGUUAGUGGCGGACGGGUGAGUAACACGUGAGCAACCUGCCUCUGAGAGGGGGAUAGCUUCUGGAAACGGAUGGUAAUACCCCAUAAAAUAUAAAUAUCGCAUGAUAGAUAUAUCAAAGAAAUUCGCUCAGAGAUGGGCUCGCGUCUGAUUAGAUAGUUGGUGAGGUAACGGCUCACCAAGUCGACGAUCAGUAGCCGGACUGAGAGGUUGAACGGCCACAUUGGGACUGAGACACGGCCCAGACUCCUACGGGAGGCAGCAGUGGGGAAUAUUGCACAAUGGAGGGAACUCUGACGCAGCGAUGCCGCGUGGAGGAAGAAGGUUUUCGGAUUGUAAACUCCUUUUAUCAGGGACGAUAAUGACGGUACCUGAAGAAAAAGCUCCGGCUAACUACGUG
rnacentral:rRNA from 1 species